GAACGUCGUGAGACAGUUCGGUCUCUAUCUAUCGUGGGCGCAGGAGACUUGCGCGGAACCGUCACUAGUACGAGAGGACCGUGACGGACUGGCCUCUGGUCUGCCGGCUGUUCCGCCAGGAGCACCGCCGGGUAUCUAUGCCGGGACUGGAUAAAUGCUGAAUGCAUCUAAGCAUGAAGCCGGCCGCAAGAUUAGGUCUCCCUUUAGGGUCGUCAUAGACGAUGACGUUGAUAGGGCGCAGGUGUAAAGGUGGCGACACCAAAGCCGAGCGCUACUAAUUGCCCGAGGCUUCUGGUCUU
rnacentral:rRNA from 1 species